AUUGAACGCUGGCGGCAUGCCUUACACAUGCAAGUCGAACGGUAACAGGUCUUCGGAUGCUGACGAGUGGCGAACGGGUGAGUAAUACAUCGGAACGUGCCCGAGAGUGGGGGAUAACGAGGCGAAAGCUUUGCUAAUACCGCAUACGAUCUCAGGAUGAAAGCAGGGGACCGCAAGGCCUUGCGCUCACGGAGCGGCCGAUGGCAGAUUAGGUAGUUGGUGGGAUAAAAGCUUACCAAGCCGACGAUCUGUAGCUGGUCUGAGAGGACGACCAGCCACACUGGGACUGAGACACGGUCCAGACUCCUACGUGAGGCAGCAGUGGGGAAUUUUGGACAAUGGGCGCAAGGCUGAUCCAGCCAUGCCGCGUGCAGGAUGAAGGCCUUCGGGUUGUAAACUGCUUUUGUACGGAACGAAAAGACUCCUUCUAAUAAAGGGGGUCCAUGACGGUACCGUAAGAAUAAGCACCGGCUAACUACGUGCCAGCCGCCGCGGUAAUAC
rnacentral:rRNA from 1 species